UCUCUCUCCUCUCUUGCCUCCCCUGCCCCACUGCCCCAUUUCCCUUCCUCUUUCUGGGUUCUGUUUCUCCCCAGGCUUCUGGAGCACCCUGACUCACACAAGAGUUAUCUAAAAUCCUACAGAGAGUUGAGAUAGCAGGUGUGAGUGGGUGUGGCUCCUUGUCCUGAUGAAAUGCAUGUGUGUGAGAUCCAUCCUUCCUACUGCAUUCACCUGGCUUCUGAGCAACAAAAUGGUGCCUGAGCAAACCGACAUUGACAUGACACUCAAAUUGUUCCCUAAUUUACCAAUCACAGUGGAACAAAUCCUCAUUUUCAGAGGAAAUGUUCUAGCAGAAUGGGCUGUAGUUACACCCUGGAAUUGGCAAACACCAUAAACCAGGGCUUUCCUCCUGGGGGGCCUUGUCGUAAAUACCUACCAGCACACUGUGGAGGUUAAAGCAAUUUAUGUAGGUUGGUAUAUAAUAGUGCCUAAUAAAUGAUCAGAAUUAGCAGUACUUUUCCCAAGAAGAGGUCCAGUGGGAUUUGCAUGGAACAAGCUGAAACUGGGAGCAGACAAAGCAAGGGGAGGUGAGCAGGGGCCUGAGAGCGGGGGCAGAGCAGGGGCAGAGCAGCGAGCCCCAGCAGGCACACAUGGCAGGGCCCACUGUCCACAGUGGGUGGCAGCAAGCACAGGUGGGCACACACCGAACACAUCUCCCUCGACAGCCUCCUCCUGUGGGUGCAAAAAGGCACUAAAGAUGAUGCGUCACAAAUUAUUAACAUCCUUAGUAACGAUCUUCAAGGCAGAAACAAAACAGGGAACAAUAACAAGCUUCAGGGAGUCUUUAUUUUGUGAAGGGGUGUGUGUGUGUGUGUCUAUGUGUGCGCAUAUAUAUAUUUAUAUAUAUAUAUACAUACAUAUAUAAAAUCAUAAACUGGCAUUUUUAAUUCCCCUGCUACCCCAGCACACAUAUGAUAUACUACGGCUUGGCUGUUGGCAGCCCUAGCCGGAAUAUUUAAUAAAUGAGGCAGUAAUGGACAUUUAUUGAAAAAAGUUUUUAUGAGAAAACCCCAAAUGUGCACGUUUUGAAGGUGCUUGCCAAUCAUGCCUGAGGGGCAGAGUCACAUCCAGGAAUCACUGUCCAGAUGACAUCGUGAGAUGAUGGCUAUGUGGAUAGGAACAAUGACUGAAGCCAGGUGCAUCCCAGGUGGCUUCUGCCCCUGAAGUGCCCAGGGAAGACCUUGGUGAUGGGGAAUCUUUGGGUCUGCUCUUAAAGAAAUGGUGAAAUGGCAGGAGAUGGGGGAUGGCUCUGCAGGUGAAAGGUGGUGCAUUAGGCCAUUCUUCCAUUGCUAUAAAGAAACACUUGAGACUGGGAAAUUUAUAAAGAAAAGAGGUUUAAUUGACUCACAACUCUGCAUGCUGUACAGGAAGCAUGGUGCUGGCAUCUGUUCAGUUUUUAGGGAGGCCUCAGGAAGCUUACAGUCAUGGCAGAAGGCAAAGGGAGAGCAGGCACAUCACAUGGCAAAAGCAGGAGCAAGACAGAGUCAGGGAGGGAGGUGCUACACACUUUUAAGUGACCAAAUCUCGUGAGAAUUCUAUCAGGAAGAUAGCACCAAGCCAUGAGGGAUCCACCUCCAUGAUCCCAACAUCCCCCACCGGGCCCCACCUCCAACACUGCAGAUUAAAAUUCAACAUGAGAUUUGGGUGGGGACGAAUAUCCAAAUGAUGUCAGGUGGGCUCUGUGGGAAGGCCAAGAGGCAGGGAGUGUUUUCAAAUGACUGGAGUCUGUCUGGUUUAGACAGAGAGUUCAUGGAGGGAGUCUCUCCACCUCUUUAAGACAAGGCCCUAACAGCCACAGAAACAGAUUUGUAUUGAUUUCAGAAAGGCCCGAGUCAAUUUUUUCUCUUCGGAUGUAGUAUUAAUGAAUUGCUAAGUACUCCCAUCUGCCAGCCAUCGUUCUAAGUAUUUUACUGGUAUUAUCUGGUUUAAUCCUUUCAACAACCCUAUGGGGUGUGUAAAUGUUACUGUACCCCAUUUAUUCAAGGAAAUGGAACCUAGAAGUAUCAAUAACUUGCCUAAGGUCAGAGUACCAAGUGUGAGAUGAGGGCGCAUAUCCCGGACAGACUUCAGAGUCUGAGCUCUUAUCUCUCUGUAUUGCCUCCCCUACUGCGCUCUACACCAAGAAGUGUUGAAGUGUGCGUGCAGCAGUCCUGAAGUUGUUGGUGGGUUGUGUUUCUUCUAAAGGCACUAUGGAGAUGAAACAAUUUAAGUUCUAUCAGUGUUUUUCAUAGAAACACGGCUACUAUAGCACCAAAAGUUGGAGAAAAUUACCUUUAUUUCUGGAUUUCAUCAGUGAUAAAGGCUGCUGCAUUGUGCAUAUCAUUGGUUCAUUUCGCACAACUAAUCACAUUUCACUUUAUUCAAGACCUUUUAAAAAUGGAACUGUCGGCUGUGGUUGGAUGGCGCAGGCAGGCGCCCUGGAGAGGCACCCUGGAGAGGGAGGCACAGGACAGAACGCUCCCAGGAAAGAGGAAGCACCCCCAGAAAGGAGCGCUCUAUGGGCUCCAGGCAGCCGAGGAAACGCGAACGUGAGCACCGUGAUUGCACUCCCACGUGCACCAACGCUGCCAGUGUGAACAGAAGCGGAGACCGCAGAGUGCCAGGCUGCGCCGGGAGAUGCAUCACGAUGAAAAACUGCGCCCGAGCACGGCGGGAACUUUCCGAGAGGGCAUGUUGUUUCCAGGCGGUUCCACCUUCUAAUAUGAAACAGUGUUGGGUGAUUUUCCUUGAUACUACUUUAUGCUCGGCCUGGUUGUUGGCAAGUAGCUGCCCGUGUCUGUAUGAGCCCUUGAUUAGUUUCCACUGCAUGUGUUUUAACACAGUGCUCCUUUUUUCCACGUUUAUUUGAGCCAACCCUGUCUGCAAAGAUCCAGUUUAAUACAAAUUUGAGUCUACGUGCUAUAGCCUGGAAAUGUACUAAAGACACUAUAACAUAUUGCUGAAAGAAUCUUUAUUCUGAAUUCAAAGCAGACACCUAGUAAAAAAUUCUGGAAUAAUAAAACAAGCAAGGCUCAUGUGCUCAGUUUUGGGGACGCUCCAAUUUAAAGGCUUAGUCAUUGUCACGGUGUAAGGUUUACCCAUUGCCCCCAUCACACAGAUGUGGGAUUAUUGAGAGCUGAGAGCCUUAUGACCUCUUCUGCUGCCCAAGAACUUGGGGUGGGUGGUAACUGGAGAAAUCAAAGUGAUCAGCUGCAAAGAAUGCUUCCAUUGCUGGAGCUUGGUUGUGCGGGAUUCUCCACGGAGGUCUUAAGGCAGAGACAAAAACAAGGACUUUGGGAGGCUCCAGUGAGUAGCCAAAAGGGUUUGGAGUCAGGCAGCCUCAGGUUACAAAUCCAGUCCUGCAGGCUAGGAGUUGUGUAAGCUUAAAAAAGUGACUGCACUUCUAGGAACAUCAUUUCCUUACCUGCACCUCCUUUUGACGGGUUUUCUGAGGACAAUGCAAUCCACACCCUGUGUCGAACACUUUUCUAAUUAAUGAUGUGCAGACACUGUUUAUUUUACAGGAAUAAAAAUGUCAGAAGAACCCAAGUCAUAUUCAUUUAAAGCAGGGUGACAAGUACACCAAAAUCUGAAAAAUCAUCACUAAAGAACUUGUCCAUGUAACCAAAAACCAUUGAAAUAAAAGUAAACUAUUGAAACGAAAUUUAAAAAGAAUAAAAUGUAAAAGUCCAAAAAA